rnacentral:rRNA from 1 species
UACGUAGGGUGCAAGCGUUGUCCGGAAUUAUUGGGCGUAAAGAGCUCGUAGGCGGUCUGUCGCGUCGGCUGUGAAAACCCGAGGCUCAACCUCGGGCCUGCAGUGGGUACGGGCAGACUAGAGUGCGGUAGGGGAGAUUGGAAUUCCUGGUGUAGCGGUGAAAUGCGCAGAUAUCAGGAGGAACACCGAUGGCGAAGGCAGCCUCCUGGGCCAACACUGACGCUCAUGCACGAAAGCGUGGGGAGCAAACAGG